rnacentral:rRNA from 1 species
CCUACGGGUGGCAGCAGUGAGGAAUAUUGGUCAAUGGACGAGAGUCUGAACCAGCCAAGUAGCGUGAAGGAUGACUGCCCUAUGGGUUGUAAACUUCUUUUAUAUGGGAAUAAAACGUUCCACGUGUGGGAUUUUGUAUGUACCAUAUGAAUAAGGAUCGGCUAACCCCGUGCCAGCAGCCGCGGUAAUACGGAGGACCCGAGCGUUAUCCGGAUUUAUUGGGGUGAAAGGGAGCGUAGGUGGAUUGUUAAGUCAGUUGUGAAAGUUUGCGGCUCAACCGUAAAAUUGCAGUUGAAACUGGCAGUCUUGAGUGCAGUAGAGGUAGGCGGAAUUCGUGGUGUAGCGGUGAAAUGCUUAGAUAUCACGAAGAACUCCGAUUGCGAAGGCAGUUCACUGGACUGCAACUGACACUGAGGCUCGAAAGUGUGGGUAUCAAACAGGAUUAGAUACCCGUGUAGUC